UACGAAGGGGGCUAGCGUUGCUCGGAAUCACUGGGCGUAAAGCGCACGUAGGCGGCUUUUUAAGUCAGGGGUGAAAUCCCAGAGCUCAACUCUGGAACUGCCUUUGAUACUGGAUGUCUGGAGUAUGGAAGAGGUGAGUGGAAUUCCGAGUGUAGAGGUGAAAUUCGUAGAUAUUCGGAGGAACACCAGUGGCGAAGGCGGCUCACUGGUCCAUUACUGACGCUGAGGUGCGAAAGCGUGGGGAGCAAACAGG
rnacentral:rRNA from 1 species